GUGAGGAAUAUUGGUCAAUGGACGGAAGUCUGAACCAGCCAUGCCGCGUGCAGGAAUAAGGUCCUAUGGAUUGUAAACUGCUUUUAUUCGGGAAUAAACCUCUUUACGUGUAGGGAGCUGAAGGUACCGAAGGAAUAAGCACCGGCUAACUCCGUGCCAGCAGCCGCGGUAAUACGGAGGGUGCAAGCGUUAUCCGGAAUCAUUGGGUUUAAAGGGUCCGCAGGCGGGCUAUCAAGUCAGAGGUGAAAUCCCACAGCUUAACUGUGGAACUGCCUUUGAAACUUAUGGUGUUGAAUUAAGUGGGCGUUGGCGGAAUAUGACAUGUAGCGGUGAAAUGCAUAGAUAUGUCAUGGAACACCGAAAGCGAAGGCAGCUAACGAUACUUAUAUUGACGCUCAUGGACGAAAGCGUGGGUAGCGAACAGGAUUAGAAACCCCGGUAGUCC
rnacentral:rRNA from 1 species